AAUUGGUGUUGAGGGCAUGCGGUACAUAGCUUCUUGUAACACUCCCAAUAUUUGCAUAAUAGCUCCCCAUGUUGUUGUUGAAUGCCAUAUAUUGCUUUUCCCAAAGU